CUUUCCUUGAUGACGACUGGCGCACGGGUGAGUAACGCGUAUCCAACCUUCCCAUAACUACGGGAUAACCCGUUGAAAGACGGCCUAAUACCGUAUGACAUCGUUUGCUGACAUCAAAUAACGAUUAAAGGUUUAGCGGUUAUGGAUGGGGAUGCGUCUGAUUAGCUUGUUGGCGGGGUAACGGCCCACCAAGGCGACGAUCAGUAGGGGUUCUGAGAGGAAGGUCCCCCACAUUGGAACUGAGACACGGUCCAAACUCCUACGGGAGGCAGCAGGC
rnacentral:rRNA from 1 species